rnacentral:lncRNA from 1 species
CGUGCGCAUGCCCAGCUGACGUGGACCAAGGCGCGGGGAGACGCAGCCUUCCUGUUUUAGCUCUUGUUCUGUAAAUGAGUGUUCUUUCCGUGGUUUUUUGGGGUGACGUGUUCAGCAUUUUGGGGCUGUUUGAUGAUUCGCUGAUUGGUAUGGACCCGAAGGGCAGUACUGAAGUGCCAACUGGUGUUCCCGAGUGUGAGAACGCUGUGAUGCGCCCGCAGAGGAAAGUCCUGUGUAGAUCUCAGCUGAAAUGCCAGCUCCUGAUAGAAAGCAUUCCCACUCAAUGCCUUCCUUCAAAAGGACUUUAUUUUAGUACAAUCUGUGCUACAGCUGCAGGAGAUCGGAUCUCUUUAAAUGCUGCCGUGGAGGUCUUUUGGCUUUCAUAGUGUAUCUGGAGUUAAUUGCUGGCUGAAGCUGAACAUUAAACAUUGUCGUCUUUUGUUGUUCUUAUUUUUAAAAAGCGGUUAAAAAAGAGAACUGGCCCCACAGUCGUUUUAGCUGCUGUUGGCACCCGUGUUUUUCAAGUGGGAGAACUAGCACAUGCCUCUCCUUUUCCUUGGACCUCGUCGUAAAGUGCCUCUGAUGAGAGUGCUGGAAGAGACAAAGGAUGGAACAGUCUCCGCGGCUGCAAAUGCCAUCUGGGAUAGAAUAAGAAGAUGUAGUUAUCAUAAAAGAAGACCAUGUGCAAAUUAAGCAACAUUCAGAACAUUCAUUAAUUCGUCUUUGUUUAGUGUAUAAGAUCAUAUGAUUAAAAUCUGGAGCUUUUACUAGUCAAUCUAGUUUUAAUUUUUGUGUUAUAUUUUAUGUGUGAAUAUUAGAGAACAAUGCCAUAUAUGACUAAAGUAGUUAAAAUAGUUUUUUUCCUACCAACCUAACAGUUUCCUUCAGAAAUGUAUUUAUGAGUCUUAGUGACUCAUAAUAGGAUUUAUGAGUCACUAAGGACUUUAGUGAGUAUUUCAAAUAGUUGGCGACCUUAAUCAAAGUUAGAACAUGAAUACGGUUAAGGUUAACAAAGAUCACCUGAAAGCACAAACAUUUACAGUUUUGUUUUUAUUGAAAUAAAUUAAAUUUGAAUAAUCGAUUUGCUUUGGUUUCCUAUGUAUUUACAACAGCAAUGUAAUUCUGAAUCCGAGAAUCUCUUAUUUGAAGAGAUUUGUUAUUAUUAUUUUUCAAAUUUUAAAUAAAUUGUUUCCAUUAAUAUCCUGAAAUAGCUUUGUUUUGUUCCAAAAUUGGCUUUUUUUAUAUAGUUUGCUUAAACUUUAAUUUUUCUGAAUAUUUUGUCCAAUAUAGCAGCACACAAAUUAUCACAAAAUAACAUGAAGAUUCUAGUACAGCUAGAGAAGAUUGUGCGCCUUAUUUAUUAUUAAGCACUGAAAUUGAUGUUAAACUGAAGAUAGAAAUGUGUUAUGCAAAUGGAGGAUUUGAUCAGGGAAUUUGAAUAAAUAAAAAGCAAAAACAACUGAUCUUACUUAUUGAUAACAAGUAUAAAAAAAGUUUAAAUAUAUACUUUUUUAAAUAGGAAUUCU